UGAUGAACGCUAGCUACAGGCUUAACACAUGCAAGUCGAGUGGCAGCAUGGUCUUAGCUUGCUAAGGCCGAUGGCGACCGGCGCACGGGUGAGUAACACGUAUCCAACCUGCCGUCUACUCUUGGACAGCCUUCUGAAAGGAAGAUUAAUACAAGAUGGCAUCAUGAGUUCACAUGUUCACAUGAUUAAAGGUAUUCCGGUAGACGAUGGGGAUGCGUUCCAUUAGAUAGUAGGCGGGGUAACGGCCCACCUAGUCUUCGAUGGAUAGGGGUUCUGAGAGGAAGGUCCCCCACAUUGGAACUGAGACACGGUCCAAACUCCUACGGGAGGCAGCAGUGAGGAAUAUUGGUCAAUGGGCGAGAGCCUGAACCAGCCAAGUAGCGUGAAGGAUGACUGCCCUAUGGGUUGUAAACUUCUUUUAUAAAGGAAUAAAGUCGGGUAUGGAUACCCGUUUGCAUGUACUUUAUGAAUAAGGAUCGGCUAACUCCGUGCCAGCAGCCGCGGUAAUACGGAGGAUCCGAGCGUUAUCCGGAUUUAUUGGGUUUAAAGGGAGCGUAGAUGGAUGUUUAAGUCAGUUGUGAAAGUUUGCGGCUCAACCGUAAAAUUGCAGUUGAUACUGGAUAUCUUGAGUGCAGUUGAGGCAGGCGGAAUUCGUGGUGUAGCGGUGAAAUGCUUAGAUAUCACGAAGAACUCCGAUUGCGAAAGCAGCCUGCUAAGCUGCAACUGACAUUGAGGCUCGAAAGUGUGGGUAUCAAACCGGAUUAGAUACCCUGGUAGUCCACACGGUAAACGAUGAAUACUCGCUGUUUGCG
rnacentral:rRNA from 1 species